UCAAGACAGACUAUUACGCUGCUAAAAACAGUAUGUUUAUGAUUUUGUUACGAUAUUUCCUGAAUAUUCAGAAAAAUUGGGAGACCAGGGGAUUGCAUGAAUUUUCGGGAGACCCCCAGGAAAAUCUGGAGAGUUGGAAUGUCUGAAAUCUACUGUGGUGUUGCUGGCAUGCUAGGAGAGGUUCUUAAAGUUUCUGGUGAUUGGUAUAGGAAUAAAAACAUUUUGCCUUUAGAGAG